CCACAGCUCAGUGUUAGAGCUUGUGUUUUGCAUGCAGAAGGUCCCAGGUUCAAUCCCUGUUAUAUAAAGG